CCCGCGCUCACCUGGUUGUUUUUGCAGAGAUCAGCCCACAUGCUGGUGCCGUCCCCUCCGCGCAUCAGGACGUGGCUUACAGUUCUAGCAAGCUUUCAGGAGAUACUGCCAAUGGACCUGAAGUUCCAUUUACUUAAAGGCGCUAAAUGCACGAGAAAUAAUCACUUGUCAAAAUGGCGUCAAAAGAUCAAGCAAGCAGCAUAUUUCCACAAAUGCUAGGCAAGGUCUUUUCCAAGAUAUGCAAAGAGUUCUAUAAGCUCCGUAGCAAAUUUCCCAAAUGGACAUUGAGGGUGGGGAGAAAUAGGAGAAAUACAAGAACGAAGAGCCCCACUCCCAGUGGGUGAGCUGAAGAAGGAACGGCACAGUUUAUCAAAUUACUGGAAAGCCCCCAGGGUAGAUAUUAGGCAAGUGAUCCCACCAACAAAUACAUAAGACACACGAGAAUGGCUUUAAAUAAAUAAGUAGAAUUGAUUCCUAAAUCAUACUUCUGCAUUCAGGAGCAACAGAUGUCAAUCAAACGUGGGUGACAUUUGCUUGUCAAUACGAGGAUGAUGGCUGGAAAGACGGUGACUUAUUACAUCAGGGUGAGAAUCUGAAAUGAGAAGCAGGAACAAGUAAGACUACAGCAAGCAAACAGUAACAUCUGGGUGACGAUCAGCAGCCUGUGAUCUUGUCUGCGGGCUUCACAGCAGGGACAUCUCCCUUCCUCCCUGUGCCUCAACCUCCCCACGCCCCCACAGCCUACUCCAGCCCACCCUACCAAUUUAGUUCUUUCUUUCCUUCUUGUCUGUUUCAAAACAAAAUAAGGUCAAAUGAGCAGAUAGAAGGAAACAAAGAUUCAUUGAUUCUUUUAAGAGAAAUGUGGUAGCUUCUUCAGGCCUUGGCUGGGAGAAUCACCCUAAGAGUUGUGCUGUGUGGCUCAGCGGGGUGGGGGUUUCCACCUCCUGGCUACUGAUAGAGCCACACUGCUCCUGGUAUUGGAAAAUAGUCCUUCCCACUUCUCAAGCCUUUAACGUUUAUUUUAAGGUAGUGGUUUUAUAAAUGAGCGCCUAUUGCUUGGGCAUAAUUAGACACAUAUUUCCAUAAUAUUUUUGUUCACAUGAGCUGCCUUAUUUUCAUAUUUUUAAGCAGUAAACAUGUAGUAAGUCCUUUCCUGGCCAUAACACUUUCCUAACACAUCUUCUAGAUUGCUUCUUAAAAGUCACCUUCCUUUUGGAGGACAAAAUGGUGAGGUCUGCUGCCAGCACCGGCGGGGGGGGGGGGGGGGGGGGGGUAGGGUAUUCAUAAAACUCUGAUGCGCCAAAUUAUAAAUGUCAUAAGGCCUCUCUAUUGCUAAGAAGAGUUUGGUAGGUGACACAAAAGGAGUUUUUUUAAAGGUAGAGUUGUAUAGAGAAACUCACAUCAAAACCUCAAGAUAUGUGAAGUUUUCCCAUUGACUAAUGCUUAAGAUAUGUUAGAGUCGAAUGCCCAUAAAAUGUUUAUCAAUGCUCAUAAAAUAUUAGAGUUGAAAUGGACCCUGCAAAGCUCAUCUGUCUGCUGCUCAUGCAGAUGAUGAGACUGAAACAGAGCUUCGGGACAGUCAGCGCUAUUCAACAAGCUUGCCCCUGCCCUCCCCUCUGCACAGAAUGUGGAUACUUCCCAUCCCAACCUGAGACUGGCAUUGCUAGUUCUAGUAACGGAGGCUUUCCUCCUUCUACUUUCUCUCACGCCAAAGGAAAUGUGAUUUUGCAAGUGAGUGCCCUUACAUUUUAAAGCUCUGCUGAGAUUUAGAAAGGCACUCGGCAGCCUUCAUUCCCCAUGAAGGGGAUUCCCUCCCGGGCCACAUGGCUGACCCCAGACUUUCCAUUAACCAGCCUGGGCAACACAUGGAUAUUUGGAUUUGUAGUGAAGCAAAUUUAAAUUCUCAGUCUCCUUCUUCUCCUCUAGAAGUAUCUCACUAUGCACUUUGGGGGAACCUUUUUGAGCCCCCAUGAUUUUCGAGGAUGGCUUGGUAGUAGAUGAACUUAUGGCUGGUUACUGCUACUUUCUACUGCUUGAAUUUCCCAGGAGGUUCUCUGCAAAGUUACUCACGCUUCAGCUCUUGUUCCGACAGUUUGGAUAAACCAUCUGAUAUGGCAUAUUACUCAUCAUCUUUACAUGUAUAUAAUAAUAGAAAACGUGUCAAUUAAAAAAAUAUUUGAUUUUC